UACGUAGGGCCCGAGCGUUGUCCGGAAUUAUUGGGCGUAAAGAGCGCGUAGGCGGUCUAUUAAGUCCUGCGUGAAAUCUCGGGGCUCAACCCCGAGCGGUCGUGGGAAACUGGUUGGCUAGAGUGCGGGAGAGGAGAGUGGAAUUCCUGGUGUAGCGGUGAAAUGCGCAGAUAUCAGGAGGAACACCGGUGGCGAAGGCGGGUCUCUGGGCCGAUACUGACGCUGAGGAGCGAAAGCGUGGGGAGCGAACAGG
rnacentral:rRNA from 1 species